rnacentral:misc_RNA from 1 species
ACCGUCCCGCGGCCGUGCACCUCGCAUGCGCGUUCAAAGGCAAAACCACCGUGUGAAACCCUCCCCGUUGCUUCCUCGGGGCGUGGCGCUCGUGCGCCACCCACCCCCACCUCGAAAACCCCCCGGGGUCGGUGGGGAGGCCGUCCCCGAGGGAGGGACCCCAGCAUUAUCCGCCGCCGUCCAAUGUGUGGGACUCUGUCUGAAACAAUGCAAAUCGAAAAGGAUUCA